rnacentral:lncRNA from 1 species
CGUGCCAAACUAAAAUAUCAAGAGCAUUCCGUGCUAGAGCUGGCUCAAUUCUUUGGUGGGUUUGCUUCAAACUUUCCAACUUCAUUUUUUUCAUUGUUUGACUUUCAAACUUGAAUUUUUUGAUCUUGAUUUCUUCUAAAUAAUAUUUUUAUAUUUUAAAUUUAUUUUUUUCAUAAUGAGCCAUCUUUGUUUCAGUGAAGGAGUCGGCU